UACGAAGGGGGCUAGCGUUGCUCGGAAUCACUGGGCGUAAAGCGCACGUAGGCGGCUUCUUAAGUCAGGGGUGAAAUCCUGGAGCUCAACUCCAGAACUGCCCUUGGUACUGAGGAGCUUGAGUCCGGGAGAGGUGAGUGGAACUGCGAGUGUAGAGGUGAAAUUCGUAGAUAUUCGCAAGAACACCAGUGGCGAAGGCGGCUCACUGGCCCGAUACUGACGCUGAGGCACGAAAGCGUGGGGAUCAAACAGG
rnacentral:rRNA from 1 species